GGGUUGUGAGGUUAAGCGACUAAGCGUACACGGUGGAUGCCCUGGCAGUCAGAGGCGAUGAAGGACGUGCUAAUCUGCGAUAAGCGCCGGUAAGGUGAUAUGAACCGUUAUAACCGGCGAUUUCCGAAUGGGGAAACCCAGUGUGACUCGUCACACUAUCAUUAACUGAAUCCAUAGGUUAAUGAGGCGAACCGGGGGAACUGAAACAUCUAAGUACCCCGAGGAAAAGAAAUCAACCGAGAUUCCCCCAGUAGCGGCGAGCGAACGGGGAGGAGCCCAGAGCCUGAAUCAGCAUGUGUGUUAGUGGAAGCGUCUGGAAAGGCGCGCGAUACAGGGUGACAGCCCCGUACACAAAAGCGCAUAUGCUGUGAGCUCGAUGAGUAGGGCGGGACACGUGGUAUCCUGUCUGAAUAUGGGGGGACCAUCCUCCAAGGCUAAAUACUCCUGACUGACCGAUAGUGAACCAGUACCGUGAGGGAAAGGCGAAAAGAACCCCGGCGAGGGGAGUGAAAAAGAACCUGAAACCGUGUACGUACAAGCAGUGGGAGCCCCACCACCAAAGCAUUCUCUGGUGUUGAAGGCCCUGCAAAGCAGCAUCGCGGUGGCGGAGCGUCGUUUGCGACGCCCAACACACAAAACAAGCGGUGAAUGCUUUGGGGUGG
rnacentral:rRNA from 1 species